CUAUAAUCUUGGGUUACUACUAAUACUAAAGUAAAUAAAAAUAAAGUCCCGACGCGCGUUUCGUUGCUCUAAUGGCACCGAAACACGCGUCGGGACUUUAUUUUUAUUUACUUUUCACUUAGCACUUUACUCACUAUGCAAUAAGCCUGAUCACCACUUUUGUUUUUAUUGUGAGGAUGCUCCAGGGGGUUAAGUUAGGGUUUACCUAUGUAUACUAGAAGAUAGGAGACUCCAUUUCAGCUGUUUAUACAGGGACUUAUACCAUUAGCAUCCAUGGUAAUGUGGGCAAAGAGUC